AUGGAUUUUGCCAUUCUAAAUUGGAAUGUGCGAGGCCUAAACAACCCCGCAAAGAGAAGGGCGGUGCAGUUGUUUGUUGCUGACCUCAAGUGCAAAAUUGUGUGUCUGCAAGAAACCAAAAUCAUUGAUAUGAGCAGAAACUUGGUGCUCGAGACUUUGGGGCCCAAGUAUGCUAACAGCUUCAUCUCUCUGCCAGCAAUUGGAUCAAGAGGGGGAGUUCUGAUUGCCUGCUGUGACGACCAUGAGAUCACCCCGGAGCGCCUAGCGAUUGGAGUGCACUCGGUUUCGGGUACUGUAAGGAACAAAUCUGACGGAAAGACUUGGUCAAUAUCUGGGGUGUAUGGGCCGCUAUCAGAGGAGGCCAAAAUGGAGUUCAUCGAUGAGCUAAAGCGGAUUAAGCAGCACAUGCUGUCAUGUUGGAUGGUUCUUGGUGAUUUUAACAUGAUUUGCCGGGCGAGGGACAAGAGCAACAAUAAUAUCAACUUGCGGCUGAUGGGGAAAUUCAGAGCGGCGAUUGAUGAGCUUGAGCUGAUUGAUUUCCCUUUGUUUGGGAGGAAAUUCACCUGGUCAAAUGAGAGAGAGAACACCACGCUCACCAGAAUCAACAGGGUUAUGGUCACUAGUGAUUGGGAGGCUUUGUUCCCUCAUUUUCAACUGUCGCCGGCCUCCACCAAUGUCUCUGAUCACUGCCCGCUUGUGCUGAGAAGAAUGGAUGUGUCGCAUUGCAGGGCCUUUCGGUUCGAGAAUCACUGGUUAAGAUGCCCCGAGUUCGCGGAGAUUGUGCAAGGCGCGUGGUCAAAGGAGGUGAAAUCCCGCGACCCCAUCCGUGUGCUGCACACAAAGCUCUCGAGGACGGCCAAGGCUCUCAAAGCAUGGAACAAGCAGAAAAUGCGCUGGACAGCUUUCAUGUCAGCACUGGCCAGUGAUGUGAUCUUUGGGCUUGACCUUGCGGAGGAGGAGCGGGCCCUUACGGAGGCGGAGCGGGGGCUACGGGCGCAGCUCAAGGCCAAAUUGCUCGGCUUUGCGGCUGUGGACAGAGCAAGGUGGCGGCAAAAAUCGAGAAUGACUGAAAUCAGAGAGGGAGACGCGAGCACUCGUUUUUUUCACCAGCGAGCCUCUGGGCGACGGCGCAAAAAUUACAUUCCCCAUCUAAGCGGCGCUGACGGCCCGGUGUUUGAGCAUGAGGGCAAGGCCAAAAUUCUGUUCGAUAGAUUCAAGAACCUCAUCGGAGCGCCGUUCACUCGUACCGCCAGGCUCAACUGGGUGUUGCUGGGGCUGCCGCGGCGUGAUCUGAGCCAUCUGGAAGGGGCUUUUUCUGAGCAGGAGCUGUUGGCUGCAAUUCAAGAGACACAUGGGGAAAAGGCACCGGGGCCAGAUGGGUACACUGGGGCUUUCUUCAAGCAUUGCUGGGAAACAAUCAAAACGGACAUGUUGGCUGCUGUCAAUUCUGUCCAUAGUUUGAGAGGGCGCUGCUGGCACAUUAUCAACACGGCAAAUGUGGUGCUUCUGCCUAAAAAGGAGGGAGCGCAUGAUGCAAGUGAUUUCAGGCCAAUAAGUCUUAUGCACAGCAUCCCCAGAGCAAGAUGUUAG
rnacentral:rRNA from 1 species